GAAACUAAAAAAUAUAGAUAAUAAUUUCAAUUUUUAUUGCCCAUACAACUGGGAACUUUAAUUAAAGAUAAGCACAGUCUUCACUAAAGAAACUAAACAAUAUAGAUAGAAUCUUUACUUUAUUAAAAUAUUCCAUUAUCCUUUGUUUGUGUCUUCUCCUUAGUCAGUGAUGUCUGUUGUGCUGAUUGCAUUUUGAAUGUGUGACAUUAGAGUGCCGAGUGUUUCAGCUGAGUAAAACAUGUUUAAGGCACCACUACAUUUUCACAAGGAAUGUAUAAUGUCAUAUAUUCUUGGGUUUUUCCAGCACAGGCUGAACCGAAAGAUAGUGUCUGUAGUGCUGGCUAAGGAUGCAUGACACCUUAUUUUACUUUAUUUUCGUUUCCUAUUAAAUUAUUAACCUAAAAAAAUAUAUAAAACUCACUACCUUAGGACUGCUACUUUUAAUAUUAAUUCCAAUACCUUAAAUUGUAUGCAGAUCGCUGUCUGUAAACUGCCACCUUUAAAAUUCUUGAAUAUUAUAGUGAAUACUGAAUUGAUAGAACUGUUAAUUCUGAAUUAAUUUUGUAUUAUAACAUUAUCGGAUUGUGGUGGUACUUGAUACUUUAGAGUGGUAGUGCUAAACUAUUAUACUUACUUCAUUUGAACAUUCGGAUGCGUUGACUUUGUGUUUACAUUUAAAUUUGGAAUAUUUGAAUGGCACUUUUCUGCGUGCCAGUUCAUUCAUUUCAUUAUUACGGCUUGAUGUUACAAGAUUCAUGAAUACAGGGUGAGGGUCCCUGUCUAUAAGGGCCACGCCAACCUAACAAUUACAUAAAAAAAAAAUUCGGGUGCCGUUAUAAUACAAAAUUAAUUCAGAAUUAACAGUUCUAUCAAUUCAGUAUACCGUGCAUAAUUUUGUAAGUAUAAUGUGAUGUACAUCUUGCUCAUAUAUUAAUUAUUAAUCAAUGAUAAACUACUCAUUGUAAGAUUUUGAUUGUAAAAAAAGUUCCUGUGGACCUUAGCAGGUGUUAGCAUCCAUAUACUGCUAUCUGUUCUAUUCAAGAAUUAGACUUUUUCUUAAGUUAAAGAAAUUGUAACUACAGAUUCCCUCUAAAGCCAUUUUCCUGAUAUAGUACUAAAAUUGCAUAUUAGGAGAACUUUCAAACCGUUCUGUCAAUAAUAGGCUUCCAAAGAAUUUCGGCAUGAAAUGAUUUAAUACAUUAAGAUUGUUUAGUCGGGGUUUCAAUAUAGCUUAUAAUACGCGAUAGUCCUGUGCAUUUUCAUGCUUAUAUGAUUUAACUGGCGUCCGCCUUUUUUUUUUUUUUUUUUUUUUUUUUUUACAGUCACUCUGAAAAGUCAUAAAUGAAAAAGUUAAAUUAAGGCGCAAAAUUCAAGGAAGACAAACAUUCAAAAGGCUGCGUAAUGCAGGGCCCAGUAUGAUAAGCUCCAACAGACAGUUUGUACACCUCCUACUUACACUUCACUUAAAUCAGCAACAAUGAAUAAAAACAGUGAUCGGGCAUACGCAAAUUAACGAGUGGAAAAAAGUACUGGCGAAGAACAAGUCUUUCGAGGGAACGAAACUUGAUAGAUUUUGUUAUAUCAUUGAAGGUUUUUAACUAACAAACCAGACUACUUCAUUCCACAUAUUCAUGUAAAAAUUGGUAGAAAGUUCAUCAUUUAUUCACACUUACGUACAAAUAAAUACUCGUAUAUAAUAUAGGUUCACCUGCCUCGCCAAAAUUUUAAUGAGCCAUCUUUGAAUCCAGUGUGGAGUUCUAUGAAUUACGAAAAGUGCCUAAAUUAGCAGUCAAAUAGAUACAGACAAAUCAGUUAUUUCACGGUAUACG